AUUCCAUUAAUGUCUGGGCUUUGCCUGAUUACUGAACUAGCUAUAGAUAUAUUUUUGUGGUUGAGCUUUGCUGCUGUUUUUGUUAUUGUUGAUGUUGACAAUUUUACUCUUUAUAUAUCUUUGAACUAGCAGAUUCGACCUACAUCCCCAUCCCCUAGAAACCUAUUUUUACCUACAUCUCUUCCAGACCAGACCAAAUUUGACCUACAUUGUCCUGCCAAUGUAGGUGAGUCAUCAACUUCUGGGAGAGUAGUACGGCAUGUUCCAUCAUUUGAGGAUUCCUCUGAGGUUUCUGAUCAAGAGGAGCAGAGGAAGGCAAAGAAGAAAAAGAAGAACAAGAGAAAAACAAAGGCUGCGGAAGAGUCCAAGCUCAACAAAACAUCAAA